rnacentral:lncRNA from 1 species
GGUGCCCUUUGCUAAUUCAAGAAACCCAAUCCUUAGCUCUGAUGCCAUGUGAAUAACUAUGUAUUUGCAAUUCAAGAAUUACACGGAAACAAGGAAGAGGGGAAAAAGUACAAAGUGCCCUUUCAUUCGUUGGUAUGUCUCAAACUUCAGCUUGAGUUUUUUUUUUCCUUCCUCAGCCACCUGAAGCUUUAUUAAAAGAAGAACAGGAAAGUUUCAGAUACAAAUGUUGCCUCUCCUCAGCGAGAACCAGGGGGAUCUAAAACAUAAAUUUUCAAUCUCAGUAAUAUAACACACAGAGCACUUCUACUUUUAUAGUAAAUUAAAUGGUCAUCACUUCUGGAUUUUUCAGAUGGGCAAUUGAAACCCCUGGUGAAUUGAAGAAUCCUCAAGGUCAACUAGAGAUCCUGUAACAGUAAUGAAACAUUUCCUAUCUUGUUCCAGAUCCUUCCAAAAGNGGAUACAGCUUCUGAUUACACAAGGUAGACCGCUCAACGAAGAGUGUGAGUCC